UACAGAGGUCUCAAGCGUUGUUCGGAUUCAUUGGGCGUAAAGGGUGCGUAGGCGGCGCGGUAAGUCGGGUGUGAAAUCUCGGGAGCUUAACUCCGAAACUGCAUUCGAUACUGCCGUGCUUGAGGACUGGAGAGGAGACUGGAAUUUAUGGUGUAGCGGUGAAAUGCGUAGAUAUCGUAAGGAAGACCAGUGGCGAAGGCGGGUCUCUGGACAGUUCCUGACGCUGAGGCACGAAGGUCAGGGGAGCAAACGGG
rnacentral:rRNA from 1 species